rnacentral:sRNA from 1 species
AAACACCCCACCCCAUUCUUUUUUAAAAUAUUGUUAGUCUUAAUUGGUGAGCCAAGGGGGACCCACCCCUGAUUUCUGUCCCCAGCCUCCCAUCUCUCUCUUCCUUUUUCUUCGUCUCUCUCCCCCGUAACUCUCCCUUAACUCUCUCCCUCUCAGCUAUCCCGUACCUCUCUCCCUCAACCUCUCGCAUCUCUCUCUUCCCCUGGACUCACUAGGACCGAGUCACCAUCGAAGAGAGGCUCGCAACGAACCCCAGACCCUGCCCUGCGAGUUCGACGACACGGAGUAAGCUCCGGCGAGCACCGCCCCUUUCGAGGCCAUUUCCGGCCAAACCACAGCGAUUUGGCCGGCGUGCAAGUUUCCGGCGAGUCCGACGGCUUUCGAGGCGUUUUCCGGCCAAACCACGGCGAGUUAGAUGUCGUGUGAGGAUUUAGGAUCGAGGCGUACAAUCCCGACAAUCCAGGCAUUUCCGCAUCGGUAUCUUCGAGUCCUCUCGGUGUAGGACCCAUUCUGUGUUCAUUUCAAUUUUUAUAUUAAUUCUUUUAAUGUUCUAGAUUAGAUGUGUGCUCUGAACACGUUCCUUAAAUGCAUAU